rnacentral:lncRNA from 1 species
AUGGAGGACCUCGAGGGAGAGGAGGAGACCAACUCGUCCCUUGUGCCUGCAGUGCUUGGGCCCUCCUCCAGCUCCUUGGAACGCUGUGUGACCCAGCUGAUGGGGCAAGACGUUGCCAAGAGGGAAAGAUCAUCAAGGGGCAGAAGCCCCUCUGCUGCAUUAACUGCCCCAGACAAUAGUGUUGCCCUCCUCCAACCUCAGCAGCUGAAGUGCAGAGGGCUGCCCAACCUGGGGCAUACCUGCUACCUGAACGCCACACUGCAGUGUCUGCUCCACCUGCAGCCUCUCUGCACUCAGCUGCUGGUGCAGGAGGAGGUGUGGAGGAUGGAGCCAAAGGCACUGCUGCUCGGUUCGUUUGUAGGACUGGUACUCCUCAGAGGGUCCUUUGAAAUGGACAUGAAGGCAGCUGUACUACUGGAGCUCAAGGACCAAAUCUCCCUGCACAACCAGGAGUUUGAGGGGAACUCGCAGAACGGGAGAACCUAGCGAUGACUUAGCAAUGACGCCCAUGAGUUCCUCUCAGAGUGUCUACUGCGGCUGAGGGUCAUCGGCCAGGCACUGGCCAUGGGCGACAUGGCCUACCAGUGCCCAGUGGACACUCUGCUCUCCUUCCAGCUCCGGUAUAUAAGAACUUGCCAGAG